GAGCUGCGGUGGCGGCAUCAUGGCCCCGACCCUGCUCCAGAAGCUCUUCAACAAAAGGGGCAGCAGCGGCAGCUCCGCGGCAGCGUCUGCCCAGGGCAGGGCUCCUAAGGAAGGACCUGCCUUUAGUUGGUCAUGUUCGGAGUUUGACCUGAAUGAGAUUCGUCUGAUAGUUUACCAGGACUGUGACAGGAGAGGCAGACAAGUCUUGUUUGACUCUAAAGCUGUUCAAAAGAUUGAGGAGAUGACAGCUCAGAAAACAGAGGAUGUUCCUAUUAAAAUAUCAGCCAAGUGCUGCCAGGGAAGCAGCAGUGUCAGCAGCAGUAGCAGCAGCAGCAUCUCUUCCCACAUUUCUUCUGGGGGAUCUUCACACCAUGCUAAGGAACAGCUUCCGAAGUACCAGUACACAAGACCAGCUUCCGAUGUCAACAUGUUAGGGGAAAUGAUGUUUGGCUCAGUUGCCAUGAGUUACAAAGGCUCUACCUUAAAGAUACACUACAUACGUUCUCCUCCACAACUGAUGAUUAGUAAAGUCUUCUCUGCUAGAAUGGGCAGCUUCUGUGGAAGUACAAACAACUUGCAAGACAGCUUUGAGUACAUCAACCAAGAUCCUAAUUUGGGAAAACUGAACGCAAAUCAGAAUAGUUUGGGUCCUUGUCGUACUGGAAGUAACCUAGGUAAAAUCAGACACACAAACAAAUUCUUUCUUUCUGAAUACACUAUUGUGGGUGUGUGUUUUGCUUUAUUUGAGUUUGUUGUGGGGUUUUUUUUUUUGCGUUAUCUUUAAUCUGUGUUUAUUUUUUGUGUGUGUGUGCUUUGUUUGCCCUCUUCUGUGUGUUUCCAUUUCUAGGUCUGCUGCAAGCAUGCAGCAGCAAACUGCUGCAGGGGGUAGCUGAAGGAGGACCUCUCCGGCUCACCCGGAGUGCUUCUUUCUUUGCAGGUUUGUGUGGAAUGCUGAGUACAGUGUGACCCACACAUAUUAAUAAAUCCUGUGCAGGUUCUUAGGAAAAAUCCUACUUUUGCCUCUCUAGAAAUCCAAGGGGCUCUUGUGAUCACAGAUAUUGGUUUCAAAUGCGGCCAAAUCCAUGGUGUUUUGAAAAUUCCGCCAAUGAACCUCUCUUGUAAAUGUCUUCGCUAAUACUCUAGUGUAAGCUGAUUUUGAUCUGAAAUGAGCCCUUAGUAUUUCGAAGAGGAUUGUUUUUUCUGAUUUUUCUGGGCCUCUUCUGCUACUAUGAACUGUUGCCCUUUGCCUUGGUGUCUUUUAUCCAUUUAUUCAACUGCAUCCUUACCUGCACGGAGUUUCAUUAAAAGUCACUCUAAUAAGAGCAUGGAAGACUUCUCUCUCUCUCUAUCUCUCUCUCUCCCUCUCUCAUUUAAGUAGUGUAAAUACAAUUUCUAGGUUAUUUACAGGUAUAGUCAUCUUGGUGUCUCUGAGAUUUAACUUGUCUUAGCAUGAUUAACAUGUGGGGAACCUCCAUUACUAACAUUUAAAGUUGUGAGUAUAGCAAAUGGUAUUUUCCUUUCUGUUCCUUGUAGCCUGAAAUAUGCUAAGCACCAUAGUUAACUGACACCCUAAUGAAAUUGACACGCUCCUACCUACUUAGAGUGAGGAAAAUGCGUUUAAAUACUCUCCUUAAAAUUGUGAAAAUAAACAUGCUUCAAAAAAUAGCUGUCAAAUAUAAUAAUCAGGCAGAGCACUGGGCUGCUUGUCCAUUUAAAACUUCACUACAGCAGCAUCACAUCUACCUUCUAGCGCAAUAAGUGUACAGCUUAGGUCAAUCUGAAGCAUUCCUAGAAGUCUAUAAUACUUCAGAGUGUUUUCCACAAUUCAUGCCAGAAUAUGAGUUUUUCUAAGUAACUCUACAAUAAUACUGUGUUUGAGUGUAUAUGGAAAGAAAUGGAGGAAGAAAUAUUUGAAAAUGAGUAUAAAUGUUUUCUAUCUGCCAAGAGAGUGGGUUAUAAACAGAGAAACAUUUUUUGAAUUUAUGAAAUGGUUUUCAAGUAUUUCUUUUCCCUAAGUCGCCUACAGUUACUACCAAAACUGAUUAUAAAGCAUUUUGAAAAUACAUUGCUAUUUAAAUACUACUGCUAAUGAGGAAAAUGGCUAAAAAAAAUCUACCUGAGAAUGUUUAUUCAUUGCAUCAACUGCAUGAAUCAUUUAUUAUUCAGAGUUUUUUUUUUUAAGAGUUGAACAUCACUCAGAAAAGUUUGUGUGCUUACAAUUGAAUACAGGCAGAUUUUUAUGAGAUGGUUACUUGGUUCUCUUUUUUUCUCAUCAUCUUUUUAUAUAUUUAAUUUUGCCUUCUAGUUAAUCUCUAUUAUAAGCUUAUGCCAAUCAUCAGUAGCAGUAGCCUACUUUGAAAUUUAAAAAUUACUGCAGUCAUUUUAAAAACUUUAUCUCUGAAGAGCCCAAUAACAUGGUUUUCUUGUUCCUUUAUCUUAGCACACAGCACACCAGUUGAUAUGCCAAGCAGAGGACAGAAUGAAGACAGGGACAGUGGCAUUGCUCGAUCAGGUACUGGUACUCCGUUUAUUGGUUUAACUAACAGAGUGAACUAUCUACAGUGGUAUAGAAGUUGGGAAAGUAGAAGACAGCUAGAUAACCCUCAUCCUGUUCUUUGUUUUUUUCCUUCCUAAGAUAGUCUGACGACAUAUCUAAAGAUCUGAAACUUUAAUGUACAGUAUCCAUGAGUGAUUGUGCAACAUAAACUAGUUUUUUCUAACACUCAAAUUAAUAUGAGACUAAUGUUUGUUAAGAAAUUUCUUUCCAGAGUGAAGCUUCCUUGAGCCCAUUGUACUAGUAAUGUGCUUGCUUGACUGUUGAGUAUAGACUCAGAGGAAGAGAAGGGUUUGUGGAAGUAAAUCUGUCCUGUGACAGUGGGAGGACCAGCCAGCUGACCUGGUCACCGUUUCUUCUGUUCUAGAGACAUACUGAUCUAGAUUUUAUCAGGUACCCUUCUCUCCUUGCCUCAAGGCCUAAACCUUUCUGUUACUGCUUUUAGGAUCUCUUGGUUUCACCUUUUGUAUGUGACCUCUUUUGAGUUUUGACUUGUGGUUCAAAUCUGAGGUUUUGUAUUAUAAGAGAAGGGUGAUGAAUGAGUGAACUGAAAUUCAAGGACUGGAGGUGGUGUGUGGUGCUCUGCCUGAUGAAUACAUAUCAUACAGGCAGCCCCUACCUUCCAGUGAGACUAGGAGCACCCUGCUGGUUUCUCCCAUGAUACAUGACACCUUCAACAAAUGGGCCAGCCAGGCAUUGCUCAGACUGGAUCCAGGCCUCACAUGAUGUUCUUCUUGGCCUUUCACUCAUUUCUCUGUCCAGCUCCUCCCCUUAGACACUACUCCAAGGUCCUUGUGCUCCUGUGUAGUCUCAGAGCCUUUUACCCCACUCUGUGCAACUCUGCUCUUGUGUUACUAAAUGAAAUGUGAUUUGUUACUGAGUCCCCAGUUUGGUUUACAUAUGUCACAUAAUGUAAAGUAUAUAGCAUUUUAUUUGUGGUUAAAAUUGAUGUGUUUUGGUGUUCAUAAUCUUUUCUGUAAAGUUGAGCUGGGAACCUUUGGUCAGAAACUCUCAUUGAUCAGGCCCAGCACAGUGGCUCACCCCUGUAAUCCCAGCACUUUAGGAGGCCAAAGCGAGCAGAUCACUUGAGGUCAGUUCGAGACCAGCCUGACCAACAUGGCGAAACUUCGUCUCUACUAAAAACACACACACAAAAAAA
rnacentral:sRNA from 1 species